CAGGCGCCUCUGUGGGAUCUCUUUUAUAAUCCCAUUUGUGAGGGCUCCACCUUCAUAACCUAAUCACCUCCCACGGCCCCACCCCCUAAUGCCAUCACAUUGAGGGUUAAGAUUUCAGUAUAUGGAUUUAAGGGGACACAAACAUUCAGACCAUGGCAGGGAUUAUUCACAGUAAUGCAAAAUAGGGGCAUCUUGGGCAAUAAAGAAGGGGGGUCGUGUCCAUGUUUGAGGUGAUUCCACUGAGAUGUUCAAGAAGGCUCGGGAUAUCCCAUAGUGAAGAUAGAAUGAAUUCUGUUUUUGCCUGCCCAGACUCUAUUCCCCACCUUCCAAUUAUUGCAGGGGACUCGUGGGGAAUCACCCAUCCUUCCAGGUUUAUAGGGUAAUACACCUCUUUCCUAGCGCCACCAGUGAGCACAUGACCCAGCUGUGACCAAUCAGCAUCAGCCAUCCCUCUGGCUACAGUGAUUGGUUCAGAACCUGGAGCAUGUGACUCGGAUGGUUUUUUUGGGUUUGUUUUGUUUUGUUUGCCUGAGUUGUUAAAGGCCAUUUGGGGCCUCUGUUGGGACGAUGGAGUCAACCCGGAAGAAAAGAAAUCUGAGAGGACCACGGUGAUGGAAACGGUGGAAGUCUGAUGACACUGAGCAUCCGGCCGCGACUCCUGGGCUAGAUUUUGCAGUCAUGAGAAUUCACGUGCAGUCAUGCAGUCACGAAACAAACAUGAGUUCAUUUGAUGAUAAAGAAUGAUCUCUAUGUUCUGCAAUUCGUGUGGAAAGGCUGCUGCCCAGGGAGAGGGCAAGGGCCUACGAACAAGAUCAGUGAUGUAACCAUCCAGAAAUGGUUGAGAAGAUCUGCUCUCCACCCCCAGACAUGGGCCCGAAGGAUCUGGAGCCGUCGCACAAAAGUUCACCCUACUGAAGGUA